rnacentral:lncRNA from 1 species
UCCUACAGAUGCUGACAUUAAACAUACUGAUGGGAAUUAUGAUCAUAUGUCAGAAAAAUAUAUAACUCCUUUGGGCUCUGUAAGAAGCUGACAGCCUUCCCAUAAAAUAUUAACCGCUCACAAUAAAAUCCCUUCACAAGGAGUGAGAGAAAUGGAGAAGGUGAAGCAAUAUUGUUCCAUUAACUCCAAGAAAGGUCAAGAGGUUGUCACCUUGGUGACCAUCCCCUAGGCAAGGUGUUGGGGUGCUAGGAAGAAGGUGGAGGCUGACCAAUUCCCUCAUCUGACAGGUUGUGUGAACAUAAGGAUUGGCUCUCAAGAUGAAGCAGCCAUUUGAAGCUUCCAAAGACCACUCGAGCAUGACCAUUCAUUAAGAAUUUCAAUUUUGACAGAAGCAGAUGUAACAGGUUUCUUUUUAUCUCUGUUGUUCAUAAAAAAAAACUGCCUAAAGAAGGGUGAAUCUUCUCUGUUAGCCCCUUAACGGGAUAAGACAUUCGAAUUAAGAAAAUGAAAUUGAAGAGGGAUGAUCUGCUUGGCAUAAGACAAGAAGGAGAGCUGAGUACUCUGAAGUGUAAUCUUGCAUGGGAUUUGAGCAGAGGCUAGUGAGAAGAAAAGCAAAAGUAAAUGGUAUUGUGAUCCCGGAAAUGUUCAAUGUAAUCUGCCAAGCUCAUACAUGCUUUAGGUGAGUGAUUUUCAGUGGUGAAAAUUCUAAAAACAAUAGUUUAUAUCAGAUAUUUUGUGAUGUGAACUGAAGCAACAUUCCAAUAAUAAGCCUAUGCCACAAUUCCUGUUCUCCACUUGGGACUGGUAGAGACUGUUAGAGGUUUAGGGGUUACCCUGGCCACAGUAUUGAGGGGUUCAAGGCAAAACCACAUGGAUAUCAAGAAGCAGAUGACUCUCCUCCUCCCUUACGCCACAUCCAAACAAGUGAAGUCUGGAUUUUAAAAAUACAUUCAUUUGUAAUAUUAUUUCUUGGAAUAAAACAACUAUUUCAUACUUGUUGAAUUAAUGACUAAAGAAAAUACAAAAAGACUUUGCACUCACAACCUGUAUUAAUUAAUUCAUCUUGA